UUAAAUUAGAGUUUGAUCCUAGCUCAGGGUGAACGCUGGCGGCAUGGAUAAGGCAUGCAAGUUGAAUGAGUUUAGACUCAUGGCAAACGGGGU
rnacentral:rRNA from 1 species